AGCGCACCUUGGGGUGCUUACACACAUCAUUAGAAAUGGGCUAGUCCAGGUGCGAGAAUUAGCCUGUAAGGGCUAGAGUUCAUGGGCCAAGCAGUUCUUAAAUGAAUACAGUUUGUGUGUUGUUAUUUCGGGCAUGAGCUAGCCAAGCGGCCGGGGUGUUGGGGAUGCAGCCCCGCCGCUCCUAUUUCAACAGAUGGCUGCCCAACGUGAGGCUAACUGAAUCCACAAAAAGCCUGAGAAAGCUUGGGAAAGAAUGGAGUGAAGCAUGUUUUCUUGGUAGCAGAAAUUUCUUGGGUCUACUCUGCUUGCUAGAGGCAAGCAAGCGCUCUCAUCUAAGAGAGGCUUCCUGACUCAGCUUCAGCUGCAAAACCCUGCAGCUCAUUAAGAGGUCCUGCCACGAAACACUUAAACGGUGUUGGUGAAAAGCUGAACGCAUGCUUUUCGGUUUUCAGCCGUAGCAGGAAAAAAGCUGUGCUGUUUAAAAAUGCCGGCUUUCUGGGCCGUCCUGCCAGGGCAAACUCUGACUGAGGCAGGAGGGCCAACUACCGAGAGAGGACUUGACUGUUGUCUGUUGUAGCUCGCUGGCUGGCAGGGACCUUGAAACGCCAUAGAAUUGUGGCUAUAAACAUGGCUACAGCCUGUAUCUCCGCCAUGAGGCUGGAAAGCUAAGGAAUGGACUGGAUCUAGCUGGCAAAGCCACGGCUUUAAUCCUACUCAUAUUGCUCAGUAAUUUAAAGGCUCGUGUGGUCAGAAAAAGAGAGAGAUACAGUAAAGAGAUUCAAAGAUAAAGAAAAUGUUUAAAUGAUUUACAGUGUGUUAAAAAUAUAUGCAAGCUAAAAGUUAAAAGUUUUUAAAAAAAAAGUAAGAAAAAGAGAAGUUGUGUGUGGUAGUACACGCCUUUAAUCCCAACACUUGGGAGGCAGAGGGAGAUUGACCUCUGUGACUUCAAGGUGUGGUAGCAAACACCUUUAAUCCCAAUGCCUGGGAGGCAGAGACAGGCGGAUCUCUGAGAGUUCAAGGAGAGCCUGGUCUACAGAGUUAUUCCAGGUCAAAGAGAUACAGAGAAUAUAAAAUAAAAGUAAAAAUAAAUGAAAUAGAGGUUAAAAUAAAGCGUACAAAGAUGGAAAAUACACAGAGAAUCUUGAUACUGUAUACUAUUAUGCUCUCUUUGAAUUGUUUGAAUGCUGAGGAAGGAGCAACAGAUGCUAAAAGAUAUUUGUUUAUAAAUGCUGCUGAACUAAUCCAUCGUAGAGAUUUUGAUGCCUUGACUUUGAAAUUUGGAUCUAAGGACAUGAUACUUUGGAAAGGAGUUUCUUUUUUUGUUUUCACAGAGGAUGAGACCCUGUUCAUUUCUUCUAUUCCGAUAUGGUAUGAUGGACCACGCCCUCCUGAACGGUUGCUGUGAAUACCUUCAGAAAAUUGCUUCGCUCAACUGCCAACUGAGAUGAAACUAGCACACAGGUUAUACCAUGAAAGACCUAAUUAACGACGCCCCCAUUCAGCAGGAAGCAGUUUGGAGAGAAAAAACUGCGCCCAUGUUCCCAAAUAUUGUUUAUAAAUGUUCUUUUACAUUUAAAGGGGGAGAUGAUAUAGGUAUGAAUAAUUUACAUUGAUAUGGAUUUUGCUUUAGUGAUUUAAAUUUAAGGUCAAUUUUGUAAUGUAUAUAGGUUGUUAAUGAAUAAUCAUUAAUAAUAGUUAAGUUUGUAGUCAUGUUAGUUAAGAUUUUCUAGAUGUGCAUAGAUAUAUUUUAGAUAGGCAUUCUUCAUAUUUUUCAAAGAUUAUAGAAUAUGGCAUUUUAAAUGUUUUAAUAACUUAGGACUUUUCAUGACAAUGAGACACUCUGCUCCUGGCAGCACCAAUCUAC